UACGGAGGGGGCGAGCGUUGUUCGGAAUUACUGGGCGUAAAGGGCGCGUAGGCGGCUUGGCAAGUUGGGCGUGAAAGCCCUGGGCUUAACCCAGGAAUUGCGCUUGAGACUGCCGGGCUUGAGUGCGGGAGAGGUGAGUGGAAUUCCCAGUGUAGAGGUGAAAUUCGUAGAUAUUGGGAAGAACACCAGUGGCGAAGGCGGCUCACUGGCCCGCAACUGACGCUGAGGCGCGAAAGCGUGGGGAGCAAACAGG
rnacentral:rRNA from 1 species